rnacentral:rRNA from 1 species
CGAGUUCCCGUACGAUCACCGAAGUUAAGCAACGUCGAACCUGAUCAGUACCUAGAUGGGCAACCGCUUGAGAAUACCAUAUGCUGUAAG